rnacentral:tRNA from 1 species
CCGCCUGAUUAUUUUUUGAUGAGUCGGCCUUCCCAUCCGUAGGUCGCAGGUUCGAGCCCUGCAGGGCGGACCA